rnacentral:rRNA from 1 species
UACGAAGGGAGCUAGCGUUGUUCGGAAUUACUGGGCGUAAAGGGCGCGUAGGCGGCUUCGCUAGUUGGGCGUGAAAUGCCUGGGCUUAACCCAGGAAUUGCGCCCAAUACUUCGAGGCUCGAGUGUGGGAGAGGAUAGUGGAAUUCCCAGUGUAGAGGUGAAAUUCGUAGAUAUCAGGAGGAACACCAGUGGCGAAGGCGGCUUUCUGGACGGUAACUGACGCUGAGGAGCGAAAGGCGUGGGGAGCAAAACAGG